GUAUCCACAGUCUGUUGAGCAAAAACCAUCCAAUUCAGAGAUGAAUUUUAGAUCACAAUAGAAUGGUAUUAGGCAGCUAAUCGAACAAUGAUAACACAAAUGAAGAGCAUGCAAUUUAUGACGGAUUUUAAUUUCUUCCAUGUCCCAAACCAAAAAUCAUUCAAUUACUGUCUGAAGUACCAGACGAAAAGGGGAUGGUCAAAUGUCAAAUCAAUCUACCAAAUCUAUACGUAAACAUAACAACGGCAGCGUGGUUUUCCAAGCGUUUCUGGGUGAAUUUAACAGGUCGCUAAUAUGCUGGUAUUCCAUGGAGCUCAUACAAUGUGUUCGGCAGGUUGGCAUCUGUUCCCGAAGACUGACGAAUAAUACAUUUUAUAACCUCGUAGUGGAAAUAAAUAAUAAUGUACAUUCAUCAACAAA